GUCAGUGAUGAUAGCACUUGUGCCACACCCGUUCCCAUACCGAACACGGAAGUUAAGACAAGAUGCGCCGAUGGUACUGCGUAAGUGGGAGAGUAGGUUAUUGCUGGCU
rnacentral:rRNA from 1 species